GUGCACGUGCCUCCGCGCACGCUCCUAGAGCAGCGCCCGGCCUCCCAGUCCGCCCGCAGACCCGCCCGCAGACCCGCCUGUGCUCACACAGCUUCCCCAGGCCAGGCCUCGCCAAGGACACCAGCCCAUGAUGGCUGUAAACGAUGGGUCGAGUCUGCCUGUGAGGUCUCUUGGGAAUUUGGAAUUGGGCUCUGAGCCUUGGCCGAGUCAUUUGGUAGUCAGCAGGACAGCUCAGCUGUUGGCUCAGGAAAGGGUGACUCAGCACAAACAGAGAGACAGGUUGCAGGAAACCACUGCUUUGUUAAGAAUUCCAGGUACUCCAGAAGCAAAUUGCAUGCUCCUGUCUCUGUGAAUGCUGUGUAAGUUCGGGCCUGUCACCCAAGCAUACUUUGCCUCAGUUUCUCAAUUUUUAAAUAUAUACCCCUCGAGAGAGGUGGCAAAUUCAUAAGCAUAAAAGUGCCUUGGAAAAGUCCA